CGCCGCCGCACAGUGUACCAUUGACUCUUAAGUUGUUAGUGCGCACCUAUCUCAUCGUCCCGAGUGUGAUUUAAAUUGCGCCAGUUUAUCAACUCCGGUAAGCAGAAGUUCAUUGCCAAGAAGAUUGUGGAGGUGAGCCUCUUCUCCUUUGGUUCCAUCAGUGACAUCAGUAUAAAAGAUGUCUACCCAAGUUACUGUUCAUAGGAUGGUGACCACUACCACCACAUCAGCUUUCCUCGUCAAUAUAGGAUAUCUCAAGACCUUCCCAGGCAUUCUUAAGAUAUUCCAGAUCAUUCUUGGAUGUGUAGCAGUUGGCAUCACUGGACACUACAUUCAUUGGACAUCAAGGUCGGAGUACGUGGUGCCAGAGCUGUUCUUCCUACUGAUAGCAACGGCUUGCCUCAUUACCACAUCACUGCUGCUCUUCUCAUGUCUCUGUUCUAUUGCUACAUCUUCCAUCAUGCCAAAGACUCUAUUUGAGACGAUGUAUCACAUAGUGGCAUCCUUGCUUUACUUCGCCAGUGCCCUUUACCUCCUCAUUCACCUGACCAACAAAACUUACCGGGACAACCAGUAUGUAGCUAAAACAGCUGCCAGCGCUCUGGGAUUGGUGAACUGUGCUCUCUAUGUCCUCUCCAGCAUCUACUCUGUGAGGACCUUCCGGCGAGGCUAACCAUCAGUUGGGUCAUCACACAAGUCAAAAAGUUAAUUCAACCAAAAAGGAGCUCUGGAUCACUUGAAUUACCGAAAAAUCUGGUGCUUGAGAGAUGGUGAGUGCUGGCAACAUUGUUAGGGAGAGCAGGAACCAUCAUCUGAUAUCACUUUGUACUGUAAACAAGAGACUGCAGUAGCUCAUCUGGGAUUGAGUGUUUAAUUUUUGGGUAAAAUUAUUUAUUUUUUGAUAAUGUUAUUAACAUGGCACCAAAUGAACUUAAAUAAUAUGGGAAUUAUGGUGAAAUUGCAUGCUGUCAUUAUAAAGGGCUCUCCCUCCCUCCUCUGCCACCCCUCACUGAAACAAUUAUGGAGGGUAUAGAUAGGAGGUGGAGGAGAGUGAUAGAGGCAGGAGGGAGUGAGGGUUGAUAUUGUCAGCCCUCCCACAGGGGUUGCUUGUCCUUUCCCCCUUGUAACCAAGUGCAUGUGCCUGGCUGUAGCUUCAGUCAGCCUAUUAUGGUGUAUGUUUCUUCAUAAAUAAUUUAACAUACAGUAUUAAAUAAUAGAACAAAAUACAAUAUAUAAUUUGACUUCAAAAUAAAACGACAAGCAAAUCAGUACCAGAGCAGACUGAUGAAGGCAUGACUCAGCAGCAGGUGAUGCAAGUUCUCAGCAAUGUUGAAGAACUCAAGGAUGCUUUAAUGAGUGCUGAACCCAGCCUGCAAUACAGUAACAAACUCAGUGCACAGUUAGACAAUUUGGUGGAACCCUACAGGCAAUGUUACCAGGAGUUUAAACACCACCAUCAAGCUCUCAAGGCCACCUAUUUACACCUUAACAAUUCAAGGAGAAUCCAGUGCUCUGGAGAACGGUGAUGAAGUUGAAGUCGCUUUACAAGUGUCUGCAGUUGAUUUUGAAUGCUUUGAAUCCAACUCGCCUUCAACCCCUGCCUUGGACACCCAUUAUCUCCCAGAGCUUCUCACACCUUCACUAUUUGAUGGAGACGGUGGACGAUCACAUACUUAACUUCCUGGGCUUUCUUCAAAUAUUUAUUUAAUAAUGUAGAUGCAGUUUAUGUGACAUUAUGUGUCAUUUUUGGAAGGUUAAGUUAGUUACACAAAGUUGUGCUAGAGUAAAGGUCUGGCAAGUCCAGUACAGUACAAUACAGUAUAGGGAUUUUAGCACAUGUUAAAGGACAUUGCUUGUGCUGAUUUCCUAUGCGUGGAUGUGUACCAAUAUGAUAUACCCAUGCAGAAUGAGACCCCAUUGUAUUCACAUUUCAUUUGCAUUUUGGUAUUGUACUGUAGUGUAAGAUAAGGCCACAAAUCUUUAUUUUUCAUUUUUCAGUCUUUCAUAAAAAAUUUAAUAAUUUUAAGUGUUUUAUAGCAUUUACAUUAUGUAUUCUCACAGCACAUUAGCUUAUUAAAUCUUAUAUUCUUAAACUUGCAAGCCCUUCCCACUGUGACACAGGGUGGCUGGCAUAAGGACCAGUGCUGCCUGUUCAUUCAGUGUCAUAUUUUUUCACUGCCUUACCAGAUGUGUUCUGUUGUAAAAGUAAACUUUUUAAGUCUCAGAAUUUAAGCUUAAUUAAAACCAUUAAUAAUUUGAAAAAACAGUUGAUGCAUUUGACGAAACUGCAGAAAAACACUUUUCUCGACAACUGUGUCAGUGGUUAUAUUGUCUACUGCUUGUAGAUUACUUGUUUUUAUAUUGCGAUACUGUACUGUCAGUACAUUCAUAAUAAAAUUAUUAUUAUUUAGCUCUUAAUAGAAAUUACCCUUUAUUAAGUCUUACAAAAUGAACUUUAUUUAUUGAUACUUUUAUUAGAACAGUACAGUAAAUCAAUAUGUUAAAAGUUCCUUCUGCAAAAAUUUUGUGGAAAGACAAAAUAUAAUGACAAAUUUACAGUUUUGGGAGAGUGCUUGUCCGUGGAAGAUGAGAUGCGUAGUUUAGAGUUGAGAUGAGGUACACAGUAAUUUAGACUCUGAAACUUUCCCCAGCAACCAGAAACAUUCUGGAGAUGUGCGUCACACAUUGUGCAAUAGUGUCUGUCAGUGUGAGACACUUGAUUUAGACUCUUGGAAACUUUUCCCAGUACUGUAAUCGAAAAACUCAAGGGAUGUGAGAUUUUUUUCAUUACCUGGAAAUCUCUCAUCCCCAAAAAAGCUCUGCACCAAUUGUUCUGGCGAAUGGGGAUAGUACUGUACUUUACAACAAACUUCCAUUUUUACAAAUUAGUAACAGUGUUCAGUACAUAUAUAUGUGAUGUCUGACACCAAAAUGCAAAAUACGCCAUUGUAAAUAACCAUAGGAUAGUAUAUUUUCACAAAACAUAAAUAGCAGUAUCUUUCCUAUUUUGUGGAUCAUAAAUGAGAAGUACCGGGUACAGUAAAACCCCCAUAAUUCGAAGUAGGCGAAAAAACACACACACAAAUAAAUAAUGGAUCUUUACCUUACCUGCCCCAAUCAAAAUUUAAACGUUUCUAAGUUUGUACAGUACCAACUUUAGGUGCUUGGUCCAGGGCUAUCAGACAUAAUGGCUAAAAUAAUGGCUAAUUAUGGAAAAACAAGUGGGAUAAAGCUUUCGCGGUGGACUGUCGAUAUACACCACGACUAACCAACAUGAAUUGACCGUGACCAAACCAACACGCGUGACACGUAUUGUACUUGUUUACACUGAGGUGGGCAGUCGCAUCCUAUGGCAAUGUGUGUAUCAUAUAAAUUCGUAAAUGUCUCAUUUUGAAAUUUUACCAAUUACAUAAUACAAAAUUCGUAAUAUAUAUUUCAUAACGGCAAAACAUUACGAAUUAUGAAUGAUUUCGAUUUGGGGGCAAACGAAUUAUGGGGUUUUACUGUAUUCAAAAAUUUUGUAAAAUGGUAUAUACAAGUACUUUAUUGCAUUUUGAAAUUGAACUUGUUUACUCAAGUUAGACUACAAAUGUUUAUGUUAUACUUGUCACUGAAAGUAUUUAUAUUUUUCUUAAAGAUUAUUAAGAUAUUAAUGUACAGUACACUAUUUAUGUAAUAAGACAAUUUCUGGCUCUCUUCUUUAUGGUCUUUGGUGUCGGAUCAUAAGUAUAUGGUAGUCUGUUCUCUCAAAGCUUGCAACUGAGACCUAGGGUCAGUUUGUAGUAAGACACCUGAUUGGUUGGUGGACGGACAACUGAAGAAUCUCUACAGUUCUUCAGUACUGUGCUGCUGUAUUUACCAUAAUCUAUUAUAUAUACAUAUACCUGUAUUAUGAUAUUUUAAGGGAUAAUAACUUUAGUGAGUUGAUCUCUGAUAAUUUUUGCACUUGAGAAAGCAAAAUUAGCAUGUGAAACAAACUGGUCAUAAAAUUAUCAUAAAGAGAAUAAGAACAUUAUUGAAAACAUUCUGGAACGUAAACUCUGCCUUGCCAUGUGACAUCACACAUCGAGGUGGAGGAUGUCCUUAAAAUUUUUAUAUUUUUCUUGUUUUUCAAAAGAUAUUUGUUACCAGAACAUUUCACAAGUCACUUAUUGCUUUCUUAGGUGUGGAAAUUAUCAGAGAUCAACAUAGAAAGGUUAUUCAGAAUAUAAAAACGAUAGAUCAAAUACUGAUGAACUGUAGUGAUUCUUCAUUUGUCCAUCCGCCAACCACUCAGCUCUCUUACUACAAACUGACCCUAGGUCUCAGUUGCAAGCUUCAAGUGAACAGAGUGCAGCUCCCUUAAAAAAUAGUGGCAAUACUUUAUUUGUUUAACCAAUAAUUUAAACUUACAAAUUACUGUAGUGGUAAUAUUUAUUGAACCAAUAAUGUACACUCAUACAAAUCAUACCUGUAAUGGUAAUAUUUACUGAACCAGUAUUUUUACACUCAGAAAUUAACAUUAUUUUUUGACAUUGUAUGGGGAUAUUUUUCAUUGCUUUACGAGACACAGCUGAUGGGUGUAUGGGUUUUUUCCUGAGCGUACAAGGAAGAAUUAGUGUUUAUCUGUGGAUCACUCAAUGUUAUUGACAAUUUAAGGUGAGAAUUAUACUUUAGUCUACCCAAUGUAGCCAAUAUCCAAUUCUUGGUGAUCCUUUUUCAUUUUUGGAAAACCUUAGGAAAACAGAACCUAAAAGAUAUACUGUACAGGUAUAUAUUUUUUUAGAUCCAUACUUCCAUCUUAAAUCUCUUCUUUGUUCUUGUAAUUAUACCCACACUGACACUGAAUGACAAAAGAUUAAAGAGAAUGUCAUUUAAAAAAUUUUUUAGAUGAUGUAUUGGUGUUAUUUUAUGUUAACAAUAUACAAAGGCUUAAUGUAGAUGAAACUACAAAUAGGAUGUAGAAUAUACUAUAUGGGUCAUACAAGAUAAAUUUGGUCUUAAGGUAAUAAAUUGCAUUUUUAUUACAGUAAAUAUGUACAGUAGUUAUCUUAUCUGAUUAUAUUUGCAGGUGUUUACAGUAUUUAAGAACAAGAGGUGUAUUGAAUCUAAUGAGAAUAGUAUACAGUAUAUGUACUGUACUUCAAAAUAUAACCUUGUCUUAAUGCUGUAUUCCGUAGUGUAUAAGUCAAACUCUGAUAUUUCUUCUUGGAGUAAUGUUUUACUCUACAAAUAUUGCUUUAAAUAUUUUUGUUUAUAAAUGUUUAUUACCUUAAACAAAGAUAAAGUAAUGUAUUAUCAGCAUUUAGUAUCCCUGACUUGACUGAUGAUUAUAAAUCUUAGUCAUAAUAACUUAAAAAUCUUGCAAGGGUCUUGAUAAAUCAGUGAACAUGACAACUCUACCAGGGAAUUUAUCUUGCGAGAUUUUCAAAUAGAUGUGUUCUCAUGCUUAGUUAAUUAUAUUAAUUGUCAUGAUGAGUGUUAGUUGCUUUUUAAUUUAACAAUUUAGAGAUCACUAAAUAUAACAUUAGUAGAAAUUCCUUUACUGUCCAUAUUUUCAUCUCAAUUCUUGUAAGCUGACGUGCAUAAUUAUCAGAUUUUCACCAAAUGAAUUGAACAAGAUUUAUAUUCUUUUACACGGUCUUAGAAUUUAAGGAUUGCUUUUUAUCCAUUCUGGAAUUAGACUUAUAAUUUUACUGUAGCUUAGUUAUUUAUUACCUUUCUCAUUAACAAGAUAACAAAAACAUUAACCUACAAAUAUAUGCAGUUAAAGCAGGAAAUGGAGUGCCUUGAUAGACUAGAUUUUUAUGUAUUUUUUUCUUCAAUUCAGUAAAUUGAACGUCUAAUCAUAUGUAUCGCUAAAGCCAGAAUGAAAUAGUGUGCAGAUGAAUAUACUGUAUUGUAAAGAGGGAUUUAAUUAUUUUUAAAUUUCUUUAACUGCAACAUAGGGCGUUAGCACAAUAUUUCUGUACAUUAACUAUUUAAGUUUUAAGAAAUAUGAAGUUAUGUACAAUAUUCUGUUUUCUUCAAAUUUUAAUUUACAUAAAUUAGUUAACAUGAUACUGUAUAUAACUUAAUUUGCUUACAGUGUGUCAGUGCUUUGUUUUGUUCAACAUCAAAAGAGCCCCAGAAUAAAUAGGCCCCAACUUAACAUAACCUAACCAUUAGGACUGAGCCCCAGUCUUCAUUGUUAGGUUAGACUGGGACCCAUUAGAACAAGUGUGUGUAUGGUUGUCAUCUUUUGUAAUAUCAGUGACCUCCUUAAGAGGUCUGAUAUACUGUUGGUGUUCAUAAUAACAAUAAAUGUUUGAUCACAAAUAUAUGUAAAAAUCAAGUUCUUCUUGAAGGACUCGAGAAUUUACUUAAUUAUAGAUUGUUUUUAAAAUAAUGGUAAUGAUCAUUAUUGUCUGGGGAAGAUUAGUUGAUGUUAUUAUAUAUCACAGUCGGACCUAGCUCACUGCUGGGGAGAGCAGUCCUCAGGCAUGAGUGUGUCUCCAACUGGUGCUGUCUCUCUCGAGAAUGAUCUGUUGGCCCUUUUUAUUGGGUUUUUCUAGGUCACCGUACUUUCACAAAUUGAUCUUAUCUAGGUUAGUUUAUGGUGGCCUGUCCUGUUUACUGUAGACCUGUUCCUGGUUGGAACCCGUACUUACUGCUGGCUGGAGGGCAGCGUUUAUUGGAUUUAUAGGCUCAAAGGGCCAUUUCUCUCAUUAACACGAAGGCGAUAACUCCUUGCCCCUUCAUGUCCCUAAUUGAGUCAGAUCUUCAUCUCAUUUCAUUACUAUAGAGUGGGUCAACUUAGGUAGGUGUUCACCUUCUCCACUAGUUACUUCUAUACAGUAUAUGCUGUUGUUCUGGACUGGCCAGCUUUGGUCUGAUAAACAAUCAUUAUACUGUAAUCUUAUAUGUUACUGUAUGUUUACCUGUUUUUUUAUAAAUCAUUAUGAUUAAAAAUGUAUUGUACUGUAAUGAUGCUAUCCAGUAAUUUUAAACAGCUGUUAGUUUUAAAGAAUCUUGAAAUACAUACAGUACUUUUGCCUGUAGUAUCAUUUACAGUAUUGGGGAAGUUCAGAAAAGGCAUCAUUUUGCCUUUACUUUUUCUCUGAUAUUAUUUGGAGGAGUAUAUUUUGAUUACAGUACUGUAAUACAGUGUAUUGGGUUGAUCUAUGAUGAUUGGUAAUGUUUUUAUAAAAUUCACAAUGAGAAUUACAAAAAUGAAGGGAAUAAUUUUUUGUGGACCAGUGUAUUCAUACAAUUUAAUGCACAUAAGUGUGUACUGUCAACAUUGAUGGUGCUGAACACCCCCUUAUAGAAUAUUUUGUAUGCAUGUGUUUAUCAUACGCUUUAAUUGGAAUUGCUACUUAAAACCAUACAACUUUCUGUAUAUAUAUAUAUAUAUAUAUAUAUAUAUAUAUAUAUAUAUAUAUAUAUAUAUAUAUAUAUAUAUAUAUAUAUAUAUAUAUAUAUAUAUAUAUAUAUUUUCAAAUGCUACUGUACUAUUCCAGAGAAAAAUUAUUAGCUUUUAUUAAUGUUCCUUAUGUUAAAGGUGUUUGGAAGUAAAGCCAGCCUAUUGGUGCUAGUCCCUUACAUGACAUCAUAGUGUUAUCAUAACAGUUUUUAUUUUAAUGCAUCAGUUUGCACAAAUCCUUCUGGCAUAGUAUUAUGCAUUAUCUAGUCGCAGUUUAUGUACUUUUAAAGUUUUAAGUGUAUCGUGAAGACUUUAAAUAAAUUGUCUUAAAAUC
rnacentral:misc_RNA from 1 species